AUUGAACGCUGGCGGCAGGCCUAACACAUGCAAGUCGAGCGAGUGGCGGACGGGUGAGUAAUGUAUGGGGAUCUGCCCGAUAGAGGGGGAUAACUACUGGAAACGGUGGCUAAUACCGCAUACUAUCGGAUGUACCCAUAUGGGAUUAGCUAGUAGGUGGGGUAAAGGCUCACCUAGGCGACGAUCCCUAGCUGGUCUGAGAGGAUGACCAGCCACACGGGGACUGAGACACGGCCCAGACUCCUACGGGAGGCAGCAGUGGGGAAUAUUGCACAAUGGGCGCAAGCCUGAUGCAGCCAUGCCGCGUGUAUGAAGAAGGCCUUCGGGUUGUAAAGUACUUUCAGUAGCGAGGCGUUAACUACAGAAGAAGCACCGGCUAACUCCGUGCCAGCAGCCGCGGUAAUUC
rnacentral:rRNA from 1 species